rnacentral:rRNA from 1 species
GGGGUGAAGGAACUAGGCAAAAUGGCACCGUAACUUCGGGAGAAGGUGCGCCUCUUGGUGUGGUCACGUGCGUGACUGAGCAUCGAGGGGUCGCAGUAACCUGGCCGCUGCGACUGUUUAUCAAAAACACAGCACUCUGCAAACACGAAAGUGGACGUAUAGGGUGUGACGCCUGCCCGGUGCUGGAAGGUUAAUUGAUGGGGUCAGCCGCAAGGCGAAGCUCUUGAUCGAAGCCCCAGUAAACGGCGGCCGUAACAAUAACGGUCCUAAGGUAGCGAAAUUCCUUGUCGGGUAAGUUCCGACCUGCACGAAUGGCGUAACGACAGCGGCGCUGUCUCCACCCGAGACUCAGUGAAAUUGAAAUCGCUGUGAAGAUGCAGCGUUCCCGCGGCAAGACGGAAAGACCCCGUGAACCUUUACUAUAGCUUUACACUGAACGUUGAGUUCUUCUGUGUAGGAUAGGUGGGAGGCUAUGAAACCAGGACGCUAGUUCUGGUGGAGCCAUCCUUGAAAUACCACCCUGAAGUGCUUGACGUUCUAACCUAGGUCCGUAAUCCGGAUCGGGGACCGUGUAUGGUGGGUAGUUUGACUGGGGCGGUCUCCUCCCAAAGAGUAACGGAGGAGCACGAAGGUACGCUCAGCGCGGUCGGACAUCGCGCACUGUGUGCAAAGGCAUAAGCGUGCUUGACUGCGAGAUCGACGGAUCAAGCAGGUACGAAAGUAGGUCUUAGUGAUCCGGUGGUUCUGUAUGGAAGGGCCAUCGCUCAACGGAUAAAAGGUACUCCGGGGAUAACAGACUGAUACCGCCCAAGAGUUCAUAUCGACGGCGGUGUUUGGCACCUCGAUGUCGGCUCAUCACAUCCUGGGGCUGUAGCCGGUCCCAAGGGUAUGGCUGUUCGCCAUUUAAAGUGGUACGCGAGCUGGGUUCAGAACGUCGUGAGACAGUUCGGUCCCUAUCUGUCGUGGGCGUUGGAGAUUUGAGGGGGGCUGCUCCUAGUACGAGAGGACCGGAGUGGACGUUCCGCUGGUGUUCGGGUUGUCAUGCCCAUGGCAUUGCCCGGUAGCUACGAACGGAAGUGAUAACCGCUGAAAGCAUCUAAGCGGGAAGCACGCCCCAAGAUGAGAUCUCCCGAGAGCUUGACUCUCCUAAAGGCACCAUCAAGACUAGGUGGUUGAUAGGCACGGUGUGGAAGUGCAGCAAUGCAUUGAGCUUACGUGUACUAAUGAGCCGUGAGGCUUGACCAA